GACGAACGCUGGCGGCGUGCUUAACACAUGCAAGUCGAACGCUGAAGCUCAGCUUUUGUUGGGUGGAUGAGUGGCGAACGGGUGAGUAACACGUGAGUAACCUGCCCCCUUCUUUGGGAUAACGCCCGGAAACGGGUGCUAAUACUGGAUAUUCACUGGUCUUCGCAUGGGGGCUGGUGGAAAGGGUUUUUCUGGUGGGGGAUGGGCUCGCGGCCUAUCAGCUUGUUGGUGGGGUGAUGGCCUACCAAGGCUUUGACGGGUAGCCGGCCUGAGAGGGUGACCGGUCACAUUGGGACUGAGAUACGGCCCAGACUCCUACGGGAGGCAGCAGUGGGGAGUAUUGCACAAUGGGCGCAAGCCUGAUGCAGCGACGCCGCGUGAGGGAUGGAGGCCUUCGGGUUGUGAACCUCUUUCGCUCAUGGUCAAGCCGCAACAAUGGUUGUGGUGAGGGUAGUGGGUAAAGAAGCGCCGGCUAACUACGUG
rnacentral:rRNA from 1 species